AUCACGCUCCUCGCCCUUGCAAACGGUGGGCCGGACGUCUUCUGUUUUGCCGCGGCAGUAACUACCGAAACGUUUCUGCUCAAACUAGGCACUCAACCUUAGUUUACUCCAAUUACCCUCCCUCUCUAUCUUUUAUCAAGUAAUUGCUCAUUUUUCUUUGCUUUCUUGUUCCAUUUCUCUGCAAUGUGAAUUCUAUUAUAUACUAUGCUCAUGUCAAAUUUCUUGGGUACCGUCCCAACAUGCAAAGACAAGACAUACAUCUGGAAAUGUGUAUGCUGAUGCACUACUGCAACAGCUGUAUCGAUGGCUUUAAAGCCUGUGAAAAGCCCAAUAGCUAUCUGCAGUGAUAUUCGAUCAUGGACAAUCUCAUCAUCUUCGAGAGCUUUUCCGUAGUGGAGGAAAGUUAUCACUUGGCAACAUUAUGAUGGUGAUGUUGAAGAACUCUAUCUGGACUUUAUAGGAACUGAAAGUCAUUUGGAAAAUGACAUGUUAUUAAGCUCAAGCCUGGUGGAAAGGAUGUUAGUGUGACCAGGAAGAACAAAUUGCAGUACUUCCAUGUAACUGCUGUUUAUAACCUUAAUCUGACAGAUUUUUCUAUUUUCAAAUGCAUUCUAUGUAGUAACUGAUCUGAUAUCACCAUCUUGGCUAAAAUUGUUUAAUGCCGGGGAAUUAAAUCAGAAAGAACACACAAUACACUGGUGGUCAAUCUGAGGGGACCUUGGCGAUUAAAAUCUUUUGGGAGGUUUCAAAAUCUCCAUAGAAGUGUCAUGUUCUAUAUUGAGCAAAAGAAAUUGGUAAUGCAGCGUAAGUUGGGCCGAAAGAGAAGAGUACGAAUCGUGGCGGAGCUAUGCCUUUUAUUUAACAUGCUUGGAGGAUAGCUAAGAGAUGAAGAUGGUGUCCGAAACAAUGCAGACAAUUUGAAAGAUGAGACAUUUGAUGAAGAUGAAGACUUGUGAUUCACAAAGUGGGUUUCAGUAAUAUUUGGUUUAGGUUUUAGCUAGUCUUAGUAAACUAUUUUUCUUUUUCUUUUUUAUUUUAGGUAUAUUAUUUUUGGGUAA